CUGCCUCCCCGGCUGCCUCCUCCCUCCCUUCCCCCCCCGCCGGGGCCGGGCCUUUAAUCCGCUCUGCCUUUGUGUCUGCCCGGCGCUGCUGCUGCUGCUGCUGCUGCUGCUGCUCUUCUUGCCCGGCCGCGAUGGAGCCUCUUUGGGGGUCCCCGCUGGCGAUGUGACGUCCAGCGUCCCCCAAAGCGAAGUCGCCGCUUCAGCCCCAAAGUGCAUAAUGGAAGCUGCCUGUGAUAGAAACCGGAACCAAAAGCUUUGGUCUCAAUAGUCGCGGAGCU
rnacentral:lncRNA from 1 species